CAGUAGCCGCGGUAAUACGAAGGUCCCGAGCGUUGUUCGGAAUCACUGGGCGUAAAGGGAGCGUAGGCGGCGUGGUAAGUCAGAUGUGAAAUCCCGGGGCUCAACCCCGGAACUGCAUCCGAUACUGCCGUGCUAGAGGAUUGGAGAGGUAGCUGGAAUUCUUGGUGUAGCAGUGAAAUGCGUGGAGAUCAAGAGGAACACUCGUGGCGAAAGCGAGCUACUGGACAAUAUCUGACGCUGAGGCUCGAAGGCCAGGGUAGCGAAAGGGAUUAGAUACCCCCGUAGUCCCUGUCUCUUAUAC
rnacentral:rRNA from 1 species